rnacentral:antisense_RNA from 1 species
UGUUAUGGCCGCUGUAUGCGGGAGACCUUAGGGUCUGCCGGUGUCUCCUACCGGUUCGCCAACCUGCAUGCAGCUGUCACCUUA